ensembl:misc_RNA 7SK 7SK RNA
GGAUGUGAGGGUGAUCUGGCUGUGACAUCUGUCACCCCGUUGAUCACCAGGGUUGAUUUGGCUGAUCUGGCUGGCUAGGCGGGUGACCCCUUCCUCCCUCACCACUCCAUGUGCGUCCUCCUGAGCUGCAUGCUUGGUCGAAGAGGAUGACCAUCCCCGAUAGAGGGUGACCGGUCUUUCAUCAAGGGUAUAUGAGUAGCUGUGGUCCCCUGCUAGAACCUCCAAAGAAGCUCUCAAGAACAAUAACCAUUAAUACGUAUAGAUACGUACCCUUCUCAGUUAAUACAGUGUCCUUAGGAUGAACUGCUGCUGGAUAAUUAAAGCCAUAGAGGUUAUGUUU